GCUCAAAACUCAAAGGACUUGACGGUGUCCCAAACCAACCUAGAGGAGCCUGUCCUAUAAUCGAUACUCCACGCUACACCUUACCCCCCCUCGAAACCAGUCUGUAUACCGCCGUCUACCAGUUCGCCUUAUGAUAGACCCAUAGCGAACACAACAGCCCACCACUCAGACGCCAGGUCAAGGUGCAACCAAUGGGGGGGCAGCGAUGGGCUACAUUUUCUACCAAUCAGAGCAAUACCACCCACCACAUGAAACAUGGGCCAAAAGGCGGAUUUAGCAGUAAGCUAGACA
rnacentral:rRNA from 1 species